rnacentral:lncRNA from 1 species
UUUGGUUCCCCUAAAGGGGACAACCCUUUGGGAUCACUCCCCCUUCUUGUUCUUAUUCUUCAUCCCCUAAAGGGUUGUCCCCUUUAGGGUAUGAAGAACUAAAGGGGAUCAUCCCCUUGUUUUCCCCUUCUUGUUCUUCCCCUUUAGGGGAUAUCAUCGUCAUCCCCUAAAGGGGAACUAAAGGGUUGUCUUCUUUAGGGGACGAUCUUAUCCCCUAAAGGGAACCCCCUUCGGUUACCCUUUAGGGGAUGAGGUCAUCGGGGAAGGGGAACCCCUUUGGUUCAUCCCCUUUAGGGGAACUAAAGGGGACGGAGACGAGGGGGUUCCCCUUCGGGGAUGAACUAAAGUUCCCUUUUAGGGGAAGAACUAAAGGGGAUGGGGAACUAAAGGGGAUGGGGAACAAAGGGGAUGCCCAAAGGGGAAGACAAGGAAAGCGCUGGGAGGUUUGUUUAGUAUAGUUUUACAAGCCCCAGGAUGGUUUUCACCAUACUAAUUACUAGUAUGGUGAAAACCAUCCUAGGCGGUACUUUGCUGUAAAGUGACAGGUGUGUGAUUGGCCAAUAGCCAGUUCGCCAACAACCGGAUAAAGAAUAAACUUCUACUUUAGUUUAAAAUACUAAUCACGACACUUUUUUAAACUUUUUAUUGUAGCUCACUAUCUAUAUUAUUUUAUUAUAUUUUUAUAGCUUAUAACAAACCAUCCGACCUAAUCUGCGCUGUAAGUCUUGUUUUAAGUAUUGUUUCAAGUGCAAGCGUCGCCAAUUUUAACGAGUAGCUUUUCUUCCCCUUUAGUUCCCCUAAAGGGGAUGAACUAAAGGGGAACCCCCUUCGUCCCCCCUUCUUCGUACCUUCGGGGAAGGUAACCCAGAGGAUACAAGGAAAGGGCUAGCCCCCUAACGUAGUUAAGCUAUGUUGUAGGAAAGAAGUUUAAUAGAAUUUCCAUAACUACAACUCAGGCCUUCUUUACUUCUUUACUUCUUUACAAGGGAGUAGGUGUAGACCUCGUGGCAAACGGCUUUACCAUCUAGCUUCGCCAGGUGUUGGCUUCAUCCCCGAAGGGGAACCCCCCUUCUUCCCCUUUAGGGGACUUAUUCCCCUUUAGUUCCCCUAAAGGGGAUGAACUAAAGUUCCCCUUUAGGUCAUCCCCGAAGGGGAACCAAAGGGGA